rnacentral:rRNA from 1 species
UACGUAGGGUGCAAGCGUUGUCCGGAAUUAUUGGGCGUAAAGAGCUCGUAGGCGGUCUGUUGCGUCGGCUGUGAAAACCCGGGGCUCAACUCCGGGCCUGCAGCCGAUACGGGCAGACUAGAGUUCGGCAGGGGAGACUGGAAUUCCUGGUGUAGCGGUGAAAUGCGCAGAUAUCAGGAGGAACACCGGUGGCGAAGGCGGGUCUCUGGGCCGAUACUGACGCUGAGGCACGAAAGCCAGGGGAGCAAACGGG